rnacentral:lncRNA from 1 species
UGUUGAUUCAGCUUUUUGGCCUUUGUAAAGAACACUCCAUUUUUAUUUGUUUUAGAUAAUAUGCUCACUUAACAUAGUUCAUCAAAUCCGAUUAGUCCGUUAGCAUCUUGCUCAAAAAUGAUCGAAGGGUUUCAAUAUUUUUUUUAAACUUUACUCUUCUGUAGGUAGGGUGAAUUGCCCUAAUGUGGGACAUUUUUAGCAUUUCAGAUUUCUGUGACAUAUUGCAUUGUGUAACCAAAACAUUAAAUUGUCACCAUUUAUUUCCUAUAAAAUGUGUUAAGUAUGACAGUGUUGUGUAUUGAGUUAUGGUUUAACCUGUGGAGGGCGAUGUAGCUGACAUGGGAAUGAAUGUUUGGUACAAACAAAAAAGAAGAAUAAAAGUGAAAGUGAAGCUAGUGUCCGGCUCUCGUCUGUUCUGCUGUGACUAUUACAAGACUAGUUUGAUUCUGAAGAGAGUUUAUUGUCUUGCAAACUGACAGAGGAAAGCAACAGGCAGAUUUUAUCGACGUUUGAGUUGAUUCUCCACAUCAAACGUCGAUAGGUUAUAAAGAAACAAACCAGAUCUGCUCUGACUGAAAUA